AGCGAACGCUGGCGGCAGGCCUAACACAUGCAAGUCGAGCGGCCGUAGCAAUACGGCAGCGGCAGACGGGAGAGUAACACGUGGGAACGCGCCCUUCGGUUCGGGAUAACUCAGGGAAACUUGGGCUAAUACCGGAUACGCCCUUACGGGGAAAGAUUUAUUGCCGAAGGAACGGCCCGCGUCCGAUUAGCUUGUUGGUGAGGUAACGGCUCACCAAGGCGACGAUCGGUAGCUGGUCUGAGAGGAUGACCAGCCUCACUGGGACUGAGACACGGCCCAGAAUCCUACGGGAGGCAGCAGUGGGGAAUAUUGGACAAUGGGCGCAAGCCUGAUCCAGCCAUGCCGCGUGGGUGAUGAAGGCCCUAGGGUUGUAAAGCCCUUUCAGCGGGGAAGAUAAUGACGGUACCCGCAGAAGAAGCCCCGGCUAACUUCGUGCCAGCCGCCGCUGUAACAC
rnacentral:rRNA from 1 species